rnacentral:rRNA from 1 species
CCGCCCGUCACAUCAUGAAAGCCGUUUGUACCCGAAGUCGCUGUGCUAACCGCAAGGAGGCAGGCGCCGAAGGUAUGGAUGGUGAUUGGGAUG